GCGUCCGUGGUGUAGUGGUUAGCGCUGUCGUUUUGGAAAUUUUAGGCGAGGGUUCGAUUCCGCGAGGGGCA